GACGAACGCUGGCGGCGUGCUUAACACAUGCAAGUCGAACGGAAAGGCCCUGCUUUUGCGGGGUUCUUGAGUGGCGAACGGGUGAGUAACACGUGAGUAACCUGCCCUUGACUUUGGGAUAACUUCACGAAACUCGGGCUAAUACCGGAUAGGAGCUCCUGCUGCAUGUGGGGGGAUGGAAAGUUUCGGCGGUUGGGGAUGGACUCGCGGCUUAUCAGCUUGUUGGUGGGGUAGUUGCUUACCAAGGCUUUGACGGGUAGCCGGCCUGAGAGGGUGACCGGCCACAUUAGGACUGAGAGACGGCCCAGACGCCUACGGGAGGCAGCAGUGGGGAAUAUGGCACAAUGGGCGGAAGCCUGAGGCAGCGACGCCGCGUGCGGGAUGACGGCCUUCGGGGUGUAAACCGCUGUCGCCUGUGACGAAGCGUGAGUGACGGUAAUGGGUAAAGAAGCACCGGCUAACUACGUG
rnacentral:rRNA from 1 species